rnacentral:misc_RNA from 1 species
GGUCUACAAUCUCAAAUAGGUAUUUACAAUGAGCACAUCAUUUAAUUGAACAGCACCGUCAAGUUGAAAUCAACCCUUCCAAGGUUGUCUUCACUAAUCUUUUCCUUAAGAUGGACAACAAGUUGCUGCUGGCGAGGCCAAGGGUCUCAAAACCACAGACGAUGAUAAGAACACCAAGAUCAAAGUUAAAGAUAUUAGGUAAACACUAGAGCAUUGAUUGGUUUUGAAUCCUUGGGUGGUGAAGUUUGUUAUCAGCAUAUGUAAUGCCCACUAGCGGUAAAUCAUCAACCGUGAAAACAAAUUCAGAAUAUUGAACAAAUAUUGAGCCAAAACACAAGCGGAACGUAACAAAACAUCAAAUGUUUUAGCAUUGCUGUUGUUUGGUGUAAAGGGAAAUGGCCCUCGUUGCAUCUGUACAUCACUUUCCAGGGGCCCUCACCACUAAUCCUAAAAUCAUUGCAGAAAGC